UACGUAGGGGGCUAGCGUUGUCCGGAAUCAUUGGGCGUAAAGCGCGCGUAGGCGGCCAGAUAAGUCCGGUGUGAAAGUCGGGGGCUCAACCCUCGGAUGCCGGUGGAUACUGUCGGGCUUGAGUACGGAAGAGGCGAGUGGAAUUCCUGGUGUAGCGGUGAAAUGCGCAGAUAUCAGGAGGAACACCAAUUGCGAAGGCAGCUCGCUGGGACGUUACUGACGCUGAGACGCGAAAGCGUGGGGAGCAAACAGG
rnacentral:rRNA from 1 species